GACGAACGCUGGCGGCGUGCCUAAUACAUGCAAGUAGAACGCUGAAGGAGGAGCUUGCUCUUCUGGAUGAGUUGCGAACGGGUGAGUAACGCGUAGGUAACCUGCCUGGUAGCGGGGGAUAACUAUUGGAAACGAUAGCUAAUACCGCAUAAGAGUAGAUGUUGCAUGACAUUUACUUAAAAGGUGCAAUUGCAUCACUACCAGAUGGACCUGCGUUGUAUUAGCUAGGUGGUGGGGUAACGGCUUACCAAGGCGACGAUACAUAGCCGACCGGAGAGGGGGAUCGGCCACACUGGGACUGAGACACGGCCCAGAGUCCUACGGGAGGCAGCAGUAGGGAAUCUUCGGCAAUGGACGGAAGUCUGACCGAGCAACGCCGCGUGAGUGAAGAAGGUUUUCGGAUCGUAAAGCUCUGUUGUCAGAGAAGAACGAGUGUGAGAGUGGAAAGUUCACACUGUGACGGUAUCUUACCAGAAAGGGACGGCUAACUACGUG
rnacentral:rRNA from 1 species